rnacentral:rRNA from 1 species
CGAAUUGUAGUUUAUAGAAGUGUUUUCUGGGACAGCUUGGGCAUAGAUUUACUGGAAAGUGAUGUCAGAGAGGGUGAGAACCCCGUACCUGGCCCAAUGCCUGUUCUUUUAUGAUGCACUUUCAAAGAGUCGAGUUGUUUGGGAAUGCAGCUCUAAACGGGUGGUAAAUACCAUCUAAAGCUAAAUAUUGGCGAGAGACCGAUAGCGAACAAGUACCGUGAGGGAAAGAUGAAAAGAACUUUGAAAAGAGAGUUAAAUAGUACGUGAAAUUGUUAAAGGGGAAACGCUUGAAACCAGUGGUGCGACCAGUAAUCAGUCUGUCCUUAAUUGGAUAGGUGCACUUGCUGCGAGCGGGUCAACAUCAGUUUGCAGCGGGGUAAAAAGCUUUGGCGGUUGGUGAAUUCCUUCAGCCUUGGUUAUGCCCUGAAGUGGACUGAGGAAUCGCUAUUUAAUUAUAGGAUGUUGACGAAAUGGUUUUAAACGACCCGUCUUGAAACACGGACCAAGGAGUCUAACAAAUAUGCGAGUAUUAGGGUG